UAGUGUUGGCGAGAAUUUUCAUGGCAUGGCUUGCGCAAGGAGGAGAGAAAACCGGAAGAUAAACACUGACGGGAGAGAGAUGGGAAAGUGCACACUGUGACGACGAUACCAUGUGUGUUUGGGAGUCACUCACUGGUGGAGGGGAGAGCGAGGGGAAAGAAGAGGGGAUAACUCUGGCAGUCCCGGCCGUCUCCUUCCUCCACGGACCGGACUCCCCCGCUCUCUUGUCGGUGUCGAUGUUCUCUCACUCUUCUUACGGUAGUUCAACGCCGGUCGCGCAGCCAGCAUGGUUGAGUCUUCUUCUGGUUUACGUGGAUCGUUGGAGUUUUGAAAAUUCAACAAGAGAAAAAAGGAGGAAAUUCCCGGGAAACUGUGCGUGAUUUUUUUUUCAAUCCUCCUGAUGUUAUUGAUUUUUUUAAAAUGAUUUCAACAGUGACUUGGGCAUUCGACUUGUAUCGUAAUACCAUCAUUUAGGCUUUCAGUUUUGGUAAAUGAUGAAUCUGCGGGACUGUUGUAUACCAACGCCAGAUGUAUGAACAUAACCUCAAAGGGACAAAGAACAGAGCUGCUCUGCUCUGUUGCAAGUGUUAUUAUUGUAGACUUUGUCUUUCUACCAGAGUAUCUCUGAAGCGAGUGAGAAUAUCGAAAGAUUACUCCCUUGAAUCAUGUAGUAUUUACACGGUUUUUCGAGUGCCGCCAGUGAAAUGUUGAUGACAAUAAGAGUAAAAACAUUUAUGCAGAGAGAGAAAUGAACUGAAUGAAUUAAAGAAAUCCAAUGGUUCAUGAAACGAGGCAGCUAUCGUCAAAUCACCCAGGAAAUCACUGUUUCAUGCGGACGAUAAUAAAAAAUAUAAGAAAAGAACAAUAGGAAAGUCUAGCAGUUCAUCGAUUCUAAUUGACAGGUCACGAAAUGGUGCUGGGGUGAUAGCAAGAAAAAUAACGCGAAAAGGGUGGGGGCGUGAGGCGUUUAAAUUUACGAUUGUACCCACUGUUACUGUUGUUAGUAUCAAGGGAAAUGCCCACGAGUCAUGGAUGUUCUCGAGACACGGUAGAGCACUACCAUCCCCUCUUGUACAGCGUAACGGAUGGCCUUGUAUUCUCUCUCGAUAUCGUGUGAUACUGUGAUUACCCGAGUCCCUAUUGUCGUCUCAAAUAACAUAUCAAUAAUUUUUCUCUACUACUUUUCAAAUCUCAAUCAGUAGAGUGAAGUUGACACACUCAUGUAGAGGCAAAUAAAAACAAAAUAAUAAUAACAGUAGCGAU